rnacentral:rRNA from 1 species
CGAGGGGCAGCGCGGGAUAGCAAUAUCCUGGCGGCGACCGGCGGAAGGGUGCGUAACGCGUGAGCGACAUGCCCGUUGCCCGGGGACAACCGGUGGAAACGCCGACUAAUCCCCGAUGGGAUACGAUGCUUCAUGGCAUUGUAUUGAAAGUUACGGCGGCGACGGAUUGGCUCGCGUCCGAUUAGCUUGUUGGCGGGGUAACGGCCCACCAAGGCUACGAUCGGUAGGGGUUCUGAGAGGAAGGCCCCCCACAAUGGGACUGAGACACGGCCCAUACUCCUACGGGAGGCAGCAGUGAGGAAUAUUGGUCAAUGGGCGGAAGCCUGAACCAGCCAUGCCGCGUGCGGGAAGGAGGCCCUAUGGGCUGUGAACCGCUUUUGCCUGGGGGCAAUAAGGGCGUCGCGCACGUCCGAUGAGAGUACCAGGCGAAUAAGCAUCGGCUAACUCCGUGCCAGCAGCCGCGGUAAUACGGGGGAUGCGAGCGUUAUCCGGAUUCAUUGGGUUUAAAGGGUGCGUAGGCUGUGCGUCAAGUCGGGGGUGAAAUUCCGGUGCUCAACACCGGGGCUGCCCUUGAUACUGUCGCGCUGGAGUGCGGAUGCCGCCGGAGGAAUGAGUGGUGUAGCGGUGAAAUGCUUAGAUAUCACUCAGAACACCGAUUGCGAAGGCAUCUGGCGAAUCCGUAACUGACGCUGAGGCACGAAAGCGUGGGGAUAGAACAGGAUUAGAUACCCUGGUAUUCCACGCCGUAAACGAUGAUGGCUAACCGCCGGCGACACACUGUCGGUGGCCAAGCGAAAGCGAUAAGCCAUCCACCUGGGGAGUACGUCGGCAACGAUGAAACUCAAAGGAAUUGACGGGGGCCCGCACAAGCGGAGGAACAUGUGGUUUAAUUCGAUGAUACGCGAGGAACCUUACCCGGGCUCGAACGGCACCUGGAUCGCCCAGAGAUGGGCGAGUCUUCGGACAGGUGUCGAGGUGCUGCAUGGUUGUCGUCAGCUCGUGCCGUGAGGUGUCGGCUCAAGUGCCAUAACGAGCGCAACCCUUGCCGCCAGUUGCCAUCAGGUGAUGCUGGGCACU